rnacentral:rRNA from 1 species
ACACGUAGGGGGCGAGCGUUGUUCGGAAUCAUUGGGCGUAAAGGGCGUGCAGGCGGUCGUGCAAGUCCGGCGUGAAAGACCCCGGCCCAACCGGGGGGACGCGCUGGAAACUGCAGGGCUUGAGUACAGGAGGGGAUGCCGGAAUUCCAGGAGUAGGGGUGCAAUCUGUUGAUAUCUGGAAGAACACCAAUGGCGAAGGCAGGCAUCUGGCCAUGUACUGACGCUGAGACGCGAAGGUGCGGGGAGCAAACAGGUUUAGAUACCCUGGUAGUCCGCACAGUAAACGAUGUGCACCAGGUGGCGGGGGGUCGACCCCCGGUACCGUAGCCAACGCAUUAAGUGCACCGCCUGGGGAGUAUGCUCGCAAGGGUGAAACUCAAAGGAAUUGACGGGG